CUCAUCUAAAACCCUACUGAACCAUCAUUUAAGAACAAAACAAAAAGCCAAAUCCACUGCAAAACCCUAAUCAAAAGCAAAGAUGAGGCCUCUAGACGAGAAAGAAACCACCGCCGUUUUCGAAAAAAUCUUUAAAUUCACCGGGAACAACCUGAAGAACAUAGUCGAGAACCCAUCUCAUGAAGGACCCGACAAGGAACCCGGUCGCUAUUGUUUCAGGCUACACAAAAACAAGGUCUAUUACGUCAGCGACUCCCUCGUCAAACGAGCCACUAACGUCGCCAGAACCAAGCUGGCUUCCAUUGGAACCUGCGUAGGUAGGUUCACCCACGGUGGCAACUUCCAUCUGACCAUCGAAUGCUUAAACCUCUUGGCUGCUAACGCCAAGCACAAGGUUUGGCUGAAACCCACGUCGGAGAUGUCGUUUCUUUACGCGAAUCACGUUUUGAAAGGUGGGCUAGGGAGGAUAACGGAGAGCAUUGCGCCUGGUGAUGGGGUUGUGGUUUUUUCCAUGUCGGAUUUGCCUUUGGGGUUUGGGGUUGCGGCGAAGAGUACACAGGAUUGUAGGAAAUUAGAUCCUAAUGCCAUUGUCGUGCUUCAUCAGGCUGAUAUUGGGGAGUAUUUGAGGAUGGAGAAUCAGCAUGAGCAUAUAAUUGAAGAAUAAAUCGGACAGGUACCCCGGCAGGUUUCUGGUCCAACUGGCCGGUCCAGUCCAAUUUUGAAAACACUGCUUGUAGUGCUUAUGUUAUGUCUAUGAAUUGUGUUUCAAAAUCUUAAUCAGCUAGGAUAAUUCAAAAUGCAGCUUGGUGUGAUAGCUUUGUUCAUGCCUCAAUACUUUUUUUUCAAUAAGGGGUACGGGUACGGGGAUACGAGCGUCAUCAAACUCAGUGGUGUGCUUAUAGCCUCCAAUGUCAUCUAAGUCAAGUUGAUAGUCAAUUUUCUCAGUGCUUUUUGUGUACACUAGUGAGGGUAUGUGACUGUAAUUGAAUGGGAAAUUAUGGCUAUUAGCAUCUCUGUUACUCGGGUUCUAGUCGGUAUUGGGCACGAGUGCUUAACUUUUUAAAAGUUAUUUUUUCAUAUAUUUGAAGAAUUAUAUCAUAUAUUAGCAGCUUGAAGACUCAAAAUCCGAGGUUAAUGCAUUUGUUGUCGUCGUUGGGUCAAUAAUUUAUACAUUUAUAAAGAACAUUAAUGAAUAUCAAUUAUUUGUAAA